UGUAUCACCACCAGAGUGGAACCCAUCCGAUAGUGAUGUAUCACUGGAGGCAAGUACUUGCGAGGCACUACAAAGAAAAACAGAGAGAAUGAUUGCUGCCUCUCACGUGAAUUCACGUCAUCCUCACACAAAUCACCCAGAACGUCCGCGAGUGGGAGGACAUUUCUUUUUUUAUUUGAUUGAAAUGCUUUUUCGCUUGGCUGAACUUUACGUUAUCAGUCGUCCCCAUCGAGGUCAGGUGAAACUGGGCAAAUACAUUCACACACAGUCACACACUCAUAUGAGAGGAAACCCAAGCAUUUAUUUAUAGUAGUAACACAAGAUUGAAGCCCAAGAUAAAGACGGUUGUUAUUCUGGCCAAUCAGCUGCGAUUUCCUUCCUUGAGACGACUCGCCCAUAAUUGGAUCGAAAAAAGUCCGAUCUUAAUAUCAUCGGUAAAUCUGUCGAGGUUUUUAUUUUUGGAUGUCGAAAAUAUAAACAAAAAUGGAAUAGAUAAUAAAAUUUUAAAUCGUUUGAAGGGAU